GUGCCUAAUCAAUUCAAGUCGUACGCUUUUUUCUUCACCGGAGCUUGCUCCACCGAAAGAAAAGGAGUGGCGAACGGGUGAGUAACACGUGGGUAACCUCCCCAUCAGAAGGGGAUAACACUUGGAAACAGGUGCUAAUACCGUAUAACAAUCGAAAACGCAUGGUUUUGAUUUGAAAGGCGCUUUCGGGUGUCGCUGAUGGAUGGACCCGCGGUGCAUUAGCUAGUUGGUGAGGUAACGGCUCACCAAGGCCACGAUGCAUAGCCGACCUGAGAGGGUGAUCGGCCACAUUGGGACUGAGACACGGCCCAAACUCCUACGGGAGGCAGCAGUAGGGAAUCUUCGGCAAUGGACGAAAGUCUGACCGAGCAACGCCGCGUGAGUGAAGAAGGUUUUCGGAUCGUAAAACUCUGUUGUUAGAGAAGAACAAGGAUGAGAGUAACUGUUCAUCCCUUGACGGUAUCUAACCAGAAAGCCACGGCUAACUACGUGCCAGCAGCCGCGGUAAUACGUAGGUGGCAAGCGUUGUCCGGAUUUAUUGGGCGUAAAGCGAGCGCAGGCGGUUUCUUAAGUCUGAUGUGAAAGCCCCCGGCUCAACCGGGGAGGGUCAUUGGAAACUGGGAGACUUGAGUGCAGAAGAGGAGAGUGGAAUUCCAUGUGUAGCGGUGAAAUGCGUAGAUAUAUGGAGGAACACCAGUGGCGAAGGCGACUCUCUGGUCUGUAACUGACGCUGAGGCUCGAAAGCGUGGGGAGCAAACAGGAGUAGAUACCCUGGUAGUUCACGCCGUAAACGACGACUAAAGGGUGUUGGAGGGUUUNCUCCUUCAGUACUGUCAUCUA
rnacentral:rRNA from 1 species